rnacentral:rRNA from 1 species
GGACUACCGGGGUAUCUAAUCCUGUUUGCUCCCCACGCUUUCGCGCCUCAGCGUCAGUUACCGUCCAGAAAGCCGCCUUCGCCACUGGUGUUCCUCCUAAUAUCUACGCAUUUCACCGCUACACUAGGAAUUCCGCUUCCCUCUCCGGCACUCAAGAACUGGAGUUUCAAAUGCAGCCCCGGAGUUGAGCUCCGGUAUUUCACAUCUGACUUUCAGUCCCGCCUACACGCCCUUUACACCCAGUAAAUCCGGACAACGCUUGCCACCUACGUAUUACCGCGGCUGCUGGCAC